GCUGGGUGCAGUGGCCCAUGCCUGUAAUCCCAGCAACUCCAGAGGCUGAGGCAGGAGGAUCAAGAGUUCAAAGCCAGCCUCAGCAAAAAAUAGAGGUGCUAAGUAACUCAGUGAGACCCUGUCUCUA
rnacentral:sRNA from 1 species